AUAUCUUUCUGUACGGGAAGGAUGAGAAGCUUCGACUAAGGUUCGAUUCGAGCGCAGCGAGAAAGCGUUGCCGUAGGCAACGACCCGAAGGGCGAAGCGCGCAACGCUG
rnacentral:sRNA from 1 species